UCCGCGUUAUUCGCGGCAGUCUCUCUAGAGUGCCCAACUGAAUGUAGCAACUAAUGACAAGGGUUGCGCUCGUUGCGGGACUUAACCCAACAUCUCACGACACGAGCUGACGACAGCCAUGCGGCACCUGUGUUCCAGUUCCCUUUCGGGCACAGCCGCCUUUCAGCAGCCUUCCGGACAUGUCAAGGGUAGGUAAGGUUUUUCGCGUUGCAUCGAAUUAAUCCACAUAAUCCACCGCUUGUGCGGGUCCCCGUCAAUUCCUUUGAGUUUUAACCUUGCGGCCGUACUCCCCAGGCGGUCGACUUCACGCGUUAGCUUCGGCACGGACGGGGUUGAUAUCCGCCCACACCUAGCACCCAACGUUUACGGCUAGGACUAC
rnacentral:misc_RNA from 1 species